rnacentral:lncRNA from 1 species
CUGUAAGAGAACUUAACAUACAUGCAUGCUUGUUUUUCCUUUUAUUUUAUUUUAUUAUUUUAUUUUUUUAGCUGUAGUCAUUCCCAAUUAUAAAGCAUUUCUGGAGCUUGUGCUGUAAUGUAAAGCAGCAAAAAGAAUUUGCUGAAAAAUUUUAAUAUAAAGCUUUCCUAAUAGAUUGAGUGAGUUUCUACUUUUGAUACAUUUUAAUAUCGAAGGGGGAAUAAAAUACAAAAAAAUUAUUUGCAUUUUAGCAUGCAUUAUAAUUCCAAUUCUCAACUGAGUACGUUUGUCAACGAGCUGUGAACACGAGGUGACUCGUUAAAAUAUUGAGCUAAAAAAAUUCAAUUCACAAUCGGCUCGUUUAAUAACGAGCCGAACACGAGUUGGCGAACACGAGUUGGCUCAUGAGCAGCAAACUAGAUUGUCAGCUCUAUUAUUGGGUAAAACAUUAAAAGAAAAUUAGAAUCAUAUUCUAAUAUUUAAAAUUUAUAAAAUAUAGAUCUCUUUAUAUUUGGAUUGGCUUAAAAUUCAAAUAGUAGAAACUGUUAAUAUAUAUAUAUGUAUAGAGAGAGAGAGAGAGAGAGAGAGAGGCUAUUGUGCUAUUAGAAGCACUACAGUCUUUAUGCUCCUAAAUUCCUAACCAUCCACCAAUUUUGAUGAAUGGUUAAGGUGAGAGAGAAAAGAAAUUGGAAAGAAAUUGGGUUUCUCAAGUUCUCUUCUUUUUAAAUUUCUUUCGAAUUUCUCUUCUCUCUCUCUCUCAUCGUAACCACUCAUCAAAAUUGAUAAAUUGUUAGAAACUUAGGAGCACAUAGGAUACUGUGCUCCUAAUAGCACAGUUAUCCUGUUCUCUAUCUCUCUCUAUAUACUCUCUCUCUAUACAUAUAGAGAGAUAGACAGAGAGUUCAACUACAGUGCUUCCGAAAGUACUCUUCAUGUGGUGCCUUCAAUUUUUUAACUUUUGCAUCAACUCUUUUGACUAUUUCUAAUCCUUUGAUUAAUAAUAUUCACCCAAGGGAGACCACUAAACCCUAAUGGGGGCCACUAUCAUCCCAACCAUAUAUAUAUAUAUAUAUUGAAUUCGGCUACUAUACUUUUAUAAGUAUAGACCGCUUUGUACUCAUAAGUUUUCGGCUACUAUACUUUUUAACUCAUAAUUAUCUAAAUUUUGGUGACAGAAAUAGGAGGGUGGAAACGAGUAAGCUCGCUCAAUCUUUGCUUGAAAUUAAUUUCGAAUCUAAAUUUAGGCUCAAGCUCAACUUAAAAUUAAUUCGAGCCGAGCUCCAGCGAGCCUAAACUUCGAAUCGAGCGAGCUCAAGUACUAAACAAGCUGCUGAAAUUCUUAACAUCGUGCAAUUUAUAGUUCAAUGUUUAUAAAAUAUUAUCUAAAAUUUAAUACAAAAAAUAUUUAAUAGUUCAACAUACAAAAGAAAUACGGUAUUAUAAUAAAAAAAAUUAGAGGAACCGACUUUUCGAGCAAAUGAAAGAGCAAAAGAGUAAUUAAAGUAGGAUUUUACUGGUUUGAUUUUGUGGGUCAGCAAAUAGUCUAAUUCAAACGAGCCCAGUAUGACUCACAUUCGACUUGAGAUAAAUUUUGAGUUUUUAUUCUGUUCAAGCUCGGGCUCAUUUAAUUUUAAAUCGAGCUCGAGCGAUCCGAAUACUGAGUUGAACGCGAGCCGAACACGAACCAACUCACUCAUUUGCCAGCCCUAAGCAGAAAGAUAUAUAUAUUAACAGACUUGAGGACUUUUGGAGGGAUAAAUUUGAUAAUUGAAGUUUUAUAAGAAUAUAUAUUUACUAUGUGAUAGUCUUGAAGGAAACCAUAUGCAAUUAUUCCAAAAAGAUGAAAAAAAAAUCAUAUUAUUCAAAAUUAAAUAAAUAAAAUGGCAUGAGAAGCGUGAGUAAGCUCAAGAGAAAAAUACCUCAAAGUUUCACGCACUCAAUCCGCUUUGUCACAGAUUCGAAAUCUGACCGGACAACUGCUCCAAUCCAACUCUUGAGUCCAAGAAUUGUAAUCUUCUCUUCCAAAGUUUUAAAUUUUAGCGUUAAAAAUAAAAAUAAAAAUUUAGCAUUUCUCUUUCUUAUAAGAAAAAUUAACAGUUUUAUCCUUCCAAAUAUUGAUAAUUGCAAGUAUAUAUAUAUAUAUAUAUAUAUAUAUAUAUAGUUGAGCCGGAAUGCUAUCGAUAGCAAACAGACUUCGUUGCCACCCAUUUGUUUUCAAUGAUGGAGCCUUCAAAUCGACGAUCGGCACCGUUGAACAUGAUCUGUACUACUUGAAGUAUCUAGAAAUUAAAUUUCAUACUUUUUCGAUAUUAUUCUCUUGUUCAUCAAGUGCGUGUAAAAAUGAACGGCCGAAAAUGAAUAUUCUCUAAAAAAGUGAUGAUAGGGAUUUUGUAAUCAAGAUCGAGAGUAUAGAUCUUGUUCUAAAUAGUUUAAAGAAUUUUCUAACAAAAAUUCAAUUGAUUUGGAUAGCUUUACACCGUUAAACAAGAAAACGCCUCAUAUCGACCAUUAAAAUUACAAAUUUUGAAACCCUUUGAUCAUUAGGUCAAUGAUGUCGAAAAGAUUUGAAAUUUGAUUUCUAGAUAGUUCAAGUGAUACAGAUCAUGUUCAACGGUGCCGAUUGUCGAUUUGAGGGCUCCAUCAUCGAAAACAAAUGGGUGGCAACAAAGCCCAUUUGCUACCGAUAGCAUUCCAACUCAACUCUAUAUAUAUAUAUAGAAAGAGUAGAGCUAUUAUACAAUCGGAAGGUAGUUAAAGCGUAGAGCUAUUUAGCAUAAGGUAGUUAUAUAUAUAGAAAGAGUAGAGGUAUUUAGCAUAAGAUAGUUAGUACUUCCGAUUUUUUAGCUCUUGGAUCAACUCUCUUUACCAUUUUAACAAUUGAAUUAAUAUUAUUACCCAAUGGGGACCACUCAACCCUAGGGAAACCACUCAACUCUAAAGGGAACACUAUCAUCCUAACCAUACAAUCUUUAAUCUAAGGGUUAAAAAAUCGAAAGCACAAACUCUCUUAUGCUUCCGAUAGCAUAGUAGCUCUACACUAUAUAUAUAUAUAUAUAUAUAACUAGGCUGGUAUACUAUCAAUAGCACAAAGCUAUUGGUGCUAUUAAUUUUUUAGCCCUUGGAUUGAUAAAUGGGUGGUUAGGAUGAUGUGGGCCCCCUAGGGUUGAGUGAGUGGUUGGUUGAAUAGUAUAAUCUAACAGGUAAAAAUAAUCAAAGGGUUAAAUCUAACGGUGGAAAACUCGAUAGCACCAAAUCCUUGGUGCUAUCGAUAGUACCCCAGCCGGACUAUAUAUAUAUAUAUAUAUAUAUAUAUAUAUAUAUAAAGAGAGAGCGAGAGAGAGAGAGAGAGUGUACAGUUACUAUAUUCUUAUGAGUAUAGAGCCCUUCGUACACAUAAAUUAUUUUUAAUAGUAGAGUUUUCGAAUCGACGAUCCACUUCGUUAAAUAUAAUUUAGAGUAUUUGAAACUUCUAAAAAAUAAAUUUCAUAAUUUUUCGAAAUUAUAAUAAAGCCCAUCAAAUUGGUACAAAAUGAAUAGUCAAAAUCGAACGACAUUCUAAAAAUGGAAGAUCGGAUUCUUCAAUUUAAGAUCGGAGUUAUUGAUCUUUAUCUAGAUAGUGGAUAGAAUUUUCUAUCAAAAUUUCAACCAAUUUCGAUUCUUUUACACUAGUCGUUAAACUAGCAAGUAUUUCAUACUGCCCGUUAAAAAUUGUCAAUUUUGAGAUCUUUUGAUCGUUAAAUAAAUGAUAUAAAAAAAUCAUGAAAUUUGAUUUCUAAAAGUUUUAAAUGCUCUAAAUAACAUUUAACAAUAUAGAUCGUCGAUUCAGAAACUCUAUCAUCGAAUAUGAUUUAUGAGUAUAAAUGCGAUUGUACUCAUAAGAGUUGUCACGCCCCGGAUUAACACGUUUUUCCGGGCACGCCAACAGACCCGCCUUAUAUAUCGAAAUUUUUCGUGUAUACGAAGUAAUAGCUGCAUCUGUAAUCACAACAGCACCACAACCAGUAGUAUAGAGCUGCUAAAUUGAAAAUAAACAUAUAAAUGAAAACCUCGAGUGGUUCUUGUACAUACAAAAGGUCUACAACACAACUCGCUCUAGCGAGUGCCCUGACAAUAUCACAAUAUGUACAAAGAAAAUCCAAAACUACCAGUGAAAGGUACUUAAUUCUCUAGUACGGUAACGAGACGGGUAGGGAUCUAGCUCGCAACUUCCUUCCCACGGUCUGAAUCAGCGACAGCAGCAGCCACAGAAGAAGGCUCUGCAAAAAAGGGGUCAACAACUAGGUGUGAGAACUAUUGCGAAAAGUAGUCCUCAGUAGGUACCGUCACCUACCUCAACUGCUCACUUACUAAAGUUUAUAGAAAAGUGUGCAAGAGAUAGUAAGGAAAGCUGGAAAAACUCUAUAGAUAUAUGUCACUAUACUAUCGGUAACCAACAUUAACUAUCUGUAAAUAAAAAAAAUACGAUCUUUGAUCUAGUCUCACUAGAGAAUAUGAAAACGCCCGUCCAGCCUGUCGAAGCUACACCGAACACCACCCCCGAGGGCUGCCGGUGGAGAGCAAGUCCAAACCAGACAACAACGACAUCAACGCAAAGCAAAAAGCCAAACUUCGGAGCGGCACUCGUGGGCGCGACCCAACCGAGUAUGCAAGCGUGUCUCUACCGAGCUCAAUCAGGCUCUCACAGGCUGUAAUCAAUGCAAAUGGGUCUAACUGGUCUAACCACCAAAGCUCACGUGCCCGUGGCACAAUCUGAUGCAAAAUACAGAAACCUGGGUCCACUGUCAACCGCGACGGCACCCGACAGUCCGAAACAGUAUACACACUACUGUAAAAUAAGCUCGGCGUCCCAGCACGAGCGUAAACUCACCAUACACUAAUCUGGGUAUCCACCGCGUACUAACAGCGGCGAUACAAAAGAACCAUAACUCCUAAAACUAAAUCUUGUAACUUUUCAGAAAAUGACAGUGUAAGAUUAAAUAGUUUUCUCCUAAGUCAAUUUUAAGUCCAACAUGAAUAUAAAUACUAGCUUAACUCCAAAUUCAGAUUUUAUAGUCUAAUCUAUGAAUUCGAGUACUAGCAAGGAAAAUAAACCAAUGAAACCUGUCGACGAUGCUAGAACUUAGGAGGAAUUCCAACGAUUUCGGUAAACAUUAAUCCAUCUCGACAUGCUAGUCCAACUACGAUAGGAAGUCGAAAGGAGAUGAACCACGUGCUCGCCCGGCCUCCCAAUGAUGCAACUACGAUGCCCGCGAGCUCGAAUGGCUCCCCGUCGCAACGUCGAAGUCUACCCGAGCUCGAGCCACGACCCCACCACAAGCAACAUCUCCAAACUAGAGAGAAAAAGGAAGCAGCAACCAAAAGCUCAUUCUCUGUCUCUCUACGCAUAUAUAAAGAGGUAGGAUAAGGUUGAGAUUAACGUCACUUCAAAUGAUGAAAAGGCCCCUCACCAACUUACAAAUACAGCUUGAGUACCGGUACCCAAUUUGGUUACUGGUAUUCGGCCUCUCAGCCCGCAAGCUCGCUCAUAGGGUACCGAUACUAGCCCGAUGCCGUACCGGUACUCAGCAUUAGAUUGGCGCAACCCGAGAGCAUCAGUUAUGCAAUUCCACUGGGGUGCCGGUACUUCUCUACUUGGUACCAGUACUCAACAUUGAAAACUUGCACUUUGCAGAUUCCAAUGUCAAAACUUUACUCUCGCGUCGCAUUGAGUCCGUUUUGCAUCCAUUUCGCGCCAAAACGACUCCGACUUGUCCCGACACUCUCCAGAUGUGUCAACAAGUCUCAGAUGCUGAAACCUACGAGCUGCAGAACACUAGGGACACUACAAAAGUAGUAGCCGGAUUAUAUAUAUAUAUAUAUAUAUAUAUAUAUAUAUAUAUAUAUAUAAUAACUAGAUGUUUUCUUGCCUAAGAUUUGAUGACAAAAAGGCAAAAUUUGGGUUUUAACAACCUAAAAUAAAUAAUCAGGUAAUUAUGAGUAUUCAAACCAGUAUAAUCAAUCACAUUUUCAUGCACUAACUACUUUGGCUUUGAGCAAAAAAAUGAAAAAAAUGUCAUGUGCUCUUUUGUGAUAGUACUUUUCAAAAUUACUUAGAACUUUGAUCUUUGAUCAAUCAUAACAUGCAAUUAUAUCGUUCUCCUUUUGAAAAGAUUUGGGUUUAGCACCAAUUUUAGCAAAUUAGAAGCUUGAUACGAUUCUAUCGUAUCAGUAGGGAUAAUUAGAAGCUUGAUACGAUUCUAUCGUAUCAGUAGGGAUAAACGAUCAUUUCGAGAGGAUCUAACCUCCUAAAAAGAGAGAUAUUAGAGAGAUAGAGAUAGAUAAGAAGGGAAUGAGAGGGAAGAUAGAACAAGACGAUCAAUUUCUUCUUAUUAUUCCAAACCCUAGAAGAUACACAUUUAUAUAACCCUAAUUACACUUUUAUUGGAAAUGACUGAAAUAUUCUAAAAUAACAAUAUAUUAUUUCAUAAUUAGAAAAUCCUAAUAUAGAAAUGUAUCAUUCCACCGCCCUCGAAAGCNCAUUUCGCGCCAAAACGACUCCGACUUGUCCCGACACUCUCCAGAUGUGUCGACAAGCCUCAGAUGUUGAAACCUACGAGCUGCAGAACACUAGGGACACUACAAGAGUAGUAGCCAGAUUAUAUAUAUAUAUAUAUUAAAAUUAAAAUUAAAAGGCCAAUUUGAAUAAAAAAAAUCCACUAGUUUUGCGCAUUUGCAAAAGUGGGUCACCUUUUUCGAUUUUGCAGAUUCGGGCCGGAUUUUCAACAAACUGACCAAAAUACUCUUUACCUUUUUCUCUCUCCUCUUUUUUUCUCUCGUUUUUUUUUCUUUCUCUUCCCAAAGAGCGGCGGAGGCAGAAGCAGAGGCGGAGGCGGCCCGCUUCGGUUUUAUCCGGCGCAUCCUUUCCCUCGCACACGCACCCCACCAACUUCCUUGCCUCCGACCCUACCGAGGCCGCGCUGCGACUUUUUCUUUUUCCCUCUCCGACUCACCUCCACCGCCUCCAACGACGAUGCCUAUUUCACCAUCUCUCGCCCUUCUCACCCUUUUUUCUCCCUCCUCCUUCGCCUCCUCCGCCGCCUCCGACGACUUUUCUCUCAAAUAGUAUAAGUUUUGUUUAAAACAGUGCAACGUUUCUCUGAAAUAGUGUAACUUCAUCAUCUUCUUUUUUUUUAUCUGAUUUUUUAUUUUUCUUGUAAUUUUUUUUCACCCUCUCCGACCCUCAUCAUCUCCUCUGCCGCCUCGAGGCCCUCGGCAAUAGUAACGAGGGCGGCGCCACAUGCUCUUCCUCCAUCUACUCCUCCGCCGGCGCCGGAGGCCCUUGGCGACAGUAACGAGGGCGGUGCUGCCUCCUCCGCCAGCGUCGGAGAAAAAGAAGAACUCAAAACAGCCCGGGAUGAGGGACAGAGGCAAUGAGGUCGUUGUCGAGCAGGUACUCGUCACCCGUGAGGGUGAGGAAAAAAAAAAAAAGGGCCCAUCUCCAAGAAACGAACAAAGAUGCAAAUAGUAGAGAAAAAUUAAGAAUAAAAAGUAAAAAAAAAUAUUUUUUUUAAGAAAACAAUUAUAUAUUAUUUUUUGAUAGCAAUAAUGAUAUAUAAUGGUCCUUCUCAUCCGAAUCCGCUUUCAGUUCUCUUUCUCCUUCUUCGGCGUCGGCGGAGGAAGCGGCACCGCCAUCGUUACCGUCGUCGAGGGCCGCCGGCGCCGGCGGAAGAGAAGAUGGAGGAAGAGGUUGUGACACCACCUUCGUUACUGUUGCCGAGGGUCCUGAGGCGGUGGAGGAGACGAUGAGGGUCGGAGAGGGUGAAAAGAAGUUACAAGAAAAAUAAAAAGUCAGAUAGAAAAGAAGAUGAUGAUGAAAUUACACUAUUUUAGAAGAACGUUGCACUUUUUGGACGAAAAUUAUACUAUUUCUCUUCUUCAUCCUCCUCCUCCUUUCUUGUUUUCGUAUGGAUGAUGAGAAAUAGUGUAAUUUUCACCCAAAAAAUACAAAUUUCAUUCAAAUUAAGAAUGCAACUUUUAUUUAGAAAAAUAUUUUUGUUUAAAACAGUGCAAUGUCCCUCUAAAAUAAUGCAUCUUCAUCUUAUUCUUAUUUUCUUUCUGAUUCUUUAUUUUUAUUGUAGAAAAAAGUAUUUCUUAUAUUUUAUUCUUUAUUCUUUUCAUUUUAUUAUUUUCUAUAUUUGUUUUCUUGGUCCUCUUUCUUUGCCGUCGGUGUCGGUGCAUGCGCCGGCGAAGGCAGAGUAAGAGGACGCGGCGCUAUUUUUAUUACUGUCAUGGAAGAUCGCAGGGGUGGUUGAGGGGGAUCAAAUAGAAAAAAAAAAAAAGAAUGAGCGAAAAAAAUGAAAGGAAGAGAAUGCGGCAUUACGCUCUUUACUGUCGUAAAGAGCCAAGGAAUUAAGCGAUGGAGGAGGGUCGUAGAGGAAAAAAAAAAAAAAAAGAGGGUCGUGGCACGGCCUCGGCGGGAUUAGAGACAAGGAAGGCAGAGGGUACGCGGACGAGGGUGAGAGUGAUCCGGACAGAGGCGAGACAGGCGGUCUCCACCCCCGCCGCCCUCUUGGGAGAGAAAGGAAAAAAAAGAACGAGAGAAAAAAAAGACGGGAGAAAGGGAAUAAAGAUAUUUUGGUCUUUUUUGAAAAUCAGGCUCGAAUGCAAAAUCUAAAAAUACGGCCUACUUUUACAAAAGCUCAAAACUAGUAAAUUUUUUAUGCAAAUUGGCCCUAAUUAAUUAUUUGAUAUUCAUCAGAAAUAUUCAUAUAUAUAAAAGUCGUUGGAAAAUGCAUUAAAACCCCGUUAACUACAGACUAUUAUGAAAGAAGCCUCGCGAAUUUAAAGUCUUUGGUUAACACCUUGAUUUUUUAUAUUUUUGGAAUUGACUAAUUUUUUUCAAUUAAAUUAGAGAUUUUAUCCAACUCAUCAGCAAUUUCAUCAAAUUUGGUAAUUUUAAUUACUUUUUAGCAAAUAAAUUAAAAUAUUUAAUGAUCAAUAGCUGAAAAGGAAUUUGCAUUUAAUAUAAGUCUUAGUCCCUCUGUUAUCAUGAUCCCUACAAUUAGGGCCGGCAAAUGAGCGAGCCGGCUCGCGUUCGACUCGAGACUUGAUAUUUGGCUCACUCGAGCUCGACUCGAAAUUAAAUAAGCCGAACUUGAUCAAAAAAAAAAGGGCUCAAAAUUCAUUUCAAGCCGAGCUUGAGUAUUACUCGGCUUGUUCGAAUUAGGCUCGAAAACCGAGAAUAUAUAUAUAUAUAUAUAGAGAGAGAGAGAGAGAGAGAGCUACUAUGCUAUCGUAAGUAUAGAGAAUCUGGUGCUUCCGAUUUUUUGAUUCUUACAUCAAUCACUUUAAUCAUUUCUUACCUUUAGAUUAAUACUAUUAUUACCAUGUAGGGACCACUCAAUCCUAAGGGUAUUAUUUAAUCCUAGGGAGGACCGCAAUCAUCUCAAUCGUAUAAUUCUUAAUCAAAGGGUCAAAAAUUCGGAAGUAUCAAAUUCUCUAUAUUUUCGAUAGCAUAGUAGUUCUACACUAUAUAUAUAUAUAUAUAUAUAUAUAUAUAUAUAUAUAUAUAUAGAGAGAGAGAGAGAGAGAGAGCUACUAUGCUAUCGUAAGUAUAGAGAAUCUGGUGCUUCCGAUUUUUUGAUUCUUACAUCAAUCACUUUAAUCAUUUCUUACCUUUAGAUUAAUACUAUUAUUACCAUGUAGGGACCACUCAAUCCUAAGGGUAUUAUUUAAUCCUAGGGAGGACCGCAAUCAUCUCAAUCGUAUAAUUCUUAAUCAAAGGGUCAAAAAUUCGGAAGUAUCAAAUUCUCUAUAUUUUCGAUAGCAUAGUAGUUCUACACUAUAUAUAUAUAUAUAUAUAUAUAUAUAUAUAUAUAUAUAUAUAGAGAGAGAGAGAGAGAGAGAGNAAGGCGGAAAAGAAGACAUGUGAGGCUGAAAAGAUUAGAUAUUCAACUCAUAAAUUAUUUUUCUUCAUAUUAUAAUACCAUAUUUCAUAUAAUUAUUUUGUACUUUGAACUAUUAGACAUAUUUUUGUAUCAAAUUAUAGAUAAUGUUCUAUACAAAUUAAACUAUUGAUUGUAUGAUGUUGAGGAUUUCAAGGGGCUCGUUUAAGGCUCGAGCUUGCUCGACUCGAAAUUAGGCUUGCUCGAGCUCGGCUCGAAUUAAUUUCAAACCAAGCUUGAGCUUAAAUUUAGGCUCGAAAUUAAUUUCAAGCCGAAUUUGAGCCGAGGUAAACUCGCUUGAGCUCGGCUCGUUUCCACCCCUACCUACAAUUAAUGGAGUUUAAAUAUUUUAGUUUACACUGAGAACAAUUUAGGGUUAAUUGUAUGUGUGUCCAUACAAAGCAAUAAAAUUGCAUUUUUACCUCUACAAAAUUUUAUAUUAUCUCUAUAAAGUUGUAGUUAGCAAAUAUAUAUUCCACUAAAGUUUCAUAGUUUGCAAAUAUGUCCUUCUCCGUUAGUUAACCGGUUAGCAAAAUUACCAUUUUAUCUAUAAAUAAAUAAAUAAAUAAAUAAAUAUAUAUAUAUAUAUAUAUAUAUAUAUAUAUAUUAUAUUUAAUAGUAUUUAUAAUUUUUAAUAUUUUUAUUCUAACUUACAUUCCAUUCUAUGUGUACCUUAUAUUAUAAAUUUCAAUAACAAUUUUUUAAAAAAUCGCAGUCCGGUGAAAAUUUAACGUCAACUAAUAAUAGUCAACCUGUCGGAAUAAACUUUUAUAUUUUGGAGAUUUCGAGAAAUAUAUUUAAUAAUUAAACUUUUAUAAGGAUGCAAUAAAAUUUUGGAGGAACAAAAAUAUGCAAUUUCAUAGCUUUGUAGGGACACGUAUGCAAUUAUUCCAACAAUUUAAGUUUUAAUAUGCACGGAUAGUAACUUUAUUGCCCCUACGGCAACUUAUUUCCUAUACAUUUUCAAUUUAGGUACGUUAGGCUUAAAAAUUUUAAAUAUAUUACACUUUAACCCUUGAUCAUUAAUAAUAAAAUUUAAUCAUGUUUAAUAUUAUGUUUGACUAUGAUAGUAAUAAUAAUAUUUAAUUAUGUUUUGAAGUACACUUAAAAUAAGGGGAAUCACUUAAAAUAGAAGGACAAAGUGUUUAUUUUGUAAAAAAACUUUUAGCCAUUUUUGAGUAAAAAAUUUUGUAAGAAACUUUUAGCCAUUUUUAAGUAAAAAUUUUGUAAAAAUUCUCGUAAAUUUUUUUUAUUUUUCUCUCAUAAAGUAAGCUUAUUUUCAUAAUUGAAAUACUUUUUCCUUUUGUAGUUGUAUGUUUCUUUAUAAUUAGACCUUCUCGAGUAUUUACUAUCAAAUCUUUUACCAUUUACGUUAGAAACAAUCGGUGAUUAUAGAUAACUGUUUGCAGAAGAAAUGUAUCCUUUAGGUUGGAAAUUAAACAUCUUUGUUUGGCAGUUAACUGCCAUUUUCAAUGAAAGAAAACUGACAAUUAAGUUGAUAAAUAUCAACAUUUACUUUUCUAUGGGUUAUAUAUAUAUAUAGGGGGCCUACAUCAUUCUAACCGCACACCUUUUAAUCCAAGAAUGGAAAACUUAAUAGCACCAAGUCAUUGGUGCUAUUAAUAGUAUUCUAGCCUAGUUUUAUAUAUAUAUAUAGAGAGAGAGAGAGAGUUGGACUGGGCUACUAUUAGUAGCAAAAUCUCAUUGUUGCUACCAGUUUUUUAGCCUUUGGAUCAACUCUUUUCAUUAUUUCUAACCAUUGGAUUAAAUACUAUAACCCAGUGGGGACCACUCAACUCUAUGGGGACCACUCAACUCUAACCGACUAAUAUCAUCCUGACCUUAUAAUUUUUCAUCCAAAGAUUAAAAACUUGAUAACAAAAAGAACGUUUUACUAUUAAUAGUAUUCCAGCCUAAUUCUAUAUAUAUAUAUAUAUAGAUAUCC